UGCUCAGCAACUCCUAUCCCUACCUUCACGCGGUACCGGCCGGAAACUAUGAGCAACCUUAGGGAAGAUCGGGUAACCAACCCCGGUGGGAACUUUGGUCGUAGGCUGACAGGGGG
rnacentral:ribozyme from 1 species